rnacentral:snRNA from 1 species
AUAUCUUUAUGGUCCUUUUGGCUAAGAUAAAGAGUAAUAUUUGUUCUUAUCAGUUUAAUCUCUGAUAUGUGUACCAUAUGUUCACUUUGAUAUUAAAUUUAUUUUUAUGUGUGUUUUUGAGGGGGGGGAGGGGGGGUCUACUACACUGGUUUACUAGAUCCGUCACAACGCACGAGCAUUGAACUACUAGUAAAAAUUAUGUAUCUAGA